rnacentral:rRNA from 1 species
UAAUUAAACGGCCGCAGUACCUUGACUGUGCUAAGGUAGCAUAAUAAAUUGACUUUUAAUUGGAGCCUUGAAUGAAUGGAACCAUAAAUAAUCUCUGUCUCAAUUAAAUACUUACAAGUUACUUAAAAGGUGAAAAUUCCUUUAAUAUAUAAAAUAGACNAGAAGACCCUAGGAGUUUUAAUUUUUGUUGGGGCGACAAUAUAGCAUAUAACCUGUAUAAUAAAUAAUUUAUAAAACGAAUAAAUUUUAAUACUAAAUAAGCUACCCUAGGGAUAACAGCAUAAUUUAAUUUAAGUUUGUGACCUCGAUGUUGGACUAGGAACUUUUAAUAUUAACAAUAUUAAUUGAUAGUUCUGUUCGA